rnacentral:lncRNA from 1 species
AGUUGGGAAUGGAGUCCAGGUAAAUGUCUGGACAGAGCCAUGGACAAUAUGGCAAGGAAGUCCUGUGAUAUUGCGUAACCUUAUGGAAGUCCCUGAUGGGAUGAACGCUCUCUCUGUGCAUCAACUUAUUGAUUUAAAUUCUUUUUCAUGGAAUUUAGAAAUGAUCCAUAACAUGUUCCCUCGCCCAUUAUGGAAUAGUAUUACUAGUAUAAAUAUUAGAAGACAUAGUUCUGAUGAGAUUAUUUGGUAUUGGGACAGGAAAGGGAAAUAUAGUGUUAAAAAUGCCUACCACUUAGAAAAUAUGGGUUUGAAUGUU